AGGAGGAUUGAGAAAGUUUGGCAACCAGAUCAUUGUUGCCACAACUGGUUAUUCCCUCCAACAGUAAGAGUGGCAAAUGACUCUUUUCAAACAGCCUAACUACUACGUUAGGUUGUAUGCAGUAAUUUGUCUACACUUG